AAUGAACGUUGGCGGCGUGGAUUAGGCAUGCAAGUCGCGCGACAAGCCCCGCAAGGGGUGGAGGAGCGGCAAACGGGGUAGUAAUGCGUCGGAACGUACCCUCAGGUCGGGGAUAGCCAGGGGAAACCCUGGGUAAUACCCGAUGACCCCGCGGCGCAAGCCGCGAGCAAAGGUCCGCCGCCUGAGGAGCGGCCGACGUGGUAUCAGGUAGUUGGCGGGGUAAUGGCCCACCAAGCCUUAGACGCCUAGGGGGCGUGAGAGCGCGACCCCCACCACUGGGACUGAGAUACUGCCCAGACACCUACGGGUGGCUGCAGUCGAGAAUCUUCCGCAAUGGGCGCAAGCCUGACGGAGCGACGCCGCGUGCGGGAUGAAGGCCUUCGGGUUGUAAACCGCUGUCAGAGGGAUGAAAGCCGCAAGGCUUGACAGAGCCUCAGAGGAAGCACGGGCUAAGUUCGUGCCAGCAGCCGCGGUAAGACGAACUGUGCGAACGUUAUUCGGAAUCACUGGGU
rnacentral:rRNA from 1 species